GGCUGUUGGUCUAAUGGCUGAGGGCCUCUCACUGGGAAGAGACAGGAAGAAGGCUGGCAGGGUAGGUGGUGAGGGACAGAGCCGUGUGUGUCCUGGGGCUGACUGCAGGGGUCAUUGGAAGAGCUGCAGCGAGAGGCUGAGGUUGCCGUGCAUCACAGAGUCCCUUCCCAGCAUGGAGGAGCCGGGCAGAGGGGUGCGCAUGGGCAGGGGGUGUGCCAGGAGAGGCAGGGGUGCAGGAGAGGCACCCGCAGGGUGCUGGGCACUCCAUGGUGGUCUCUACCCGCUCCCCCAC
rnacentral:lncRNA from 1 species